rnacentral:rRNA from 1 species
GUAGGUGGCAAGCGUUGUCCGGAAUUAUUGGGGCGUAAAGCGCGCGCAGGCGGUUCUUUAAGUCUGAUGUGAAAGCCCACGGGCUCAACCGUGGAGGGUCAUUGGAAACUGGAGAACUUGAGUACAGAAGAGGAAAGCGGAAUUCCACGUGUAGCGGUGAAAUGCGUAGAGAUGUGGAGGAACACCAGUGGCGAAGGCGGCUUUCUGGUCUGUAACUGACGCUGAGGCGCGAAAGCGUGGGGAGCAAACAGGAUUAGAUACCCUGGUAGUCCACGCCGUAAACGAUGAGUGCUAAGUGUUAGGGGGUUUCCGCCCCUUAGUGCUGCAGCUAACGCAUUAAGCACUCCGCUUGGGGAGUACGGCCGCAAAGGCUG